AACGCUGGCGGCGUGCCUAAUACAUGCAAGUCGAACGGUCUUUUCUAUGGAAGCUUGCUUCCACUGAGAAGAUAGUGGCGAACGGGUGAGUAACACGUGGGUAACCUGCCCAUAAGAGGGGGGAUAACAUCCGGAAACGGGUGCUAAUACCGCAUAGUUUUCUUGAUCGCAUGAUCGGGAAAGGAAAGACGGCCUUUGUGCUGUCGCUUAUGGAUGGACCCGCGGCGUAUUAGUUAGUUGGUGAGGUAACGGCUCACCAAGACGAUGAUACGUAGCCGACCUGAGAGGGUGAUCGGCCACAUUGGGACUGAGACACGGCCCAAACUCCUACGGGAGGCAGCAGUAGGGAAUCUUCCGCAAUGGACGAAAGUCUGACGGAGCAACGCCGCGUGAGUGAAGAAAGGUUUUCGGAUCGUAAAACUCUGUUGUCAGAGAAGAACAAGUUGGAGAGUAACUGCUCCAGCCUUGACGGUAUCUGACCAGAAAGCCACGGCUAACUACGUGCCAGCCGCAGC
rnacentral:rRNA from 1 species